rnacentral:rRNA from 1 species
AAACUCAAAGGAAUUGACGGGGANCCGCACAAGCGGUGGAUGAUGUGGAUUAAUUCGAUGCAACGGNAAAACCUUACCUACCCUUGACAUGUACGGAAUCCUGCUGAGAGGUGGGAGUGCCAGAAAUGGAGCCGUANNAGAGGUGCUGCAUGGCUGUCGUCAGCUCGUGUCGUGAGAUGUUGGGUUAAGUCCCGCAACGAGCGCAACCCUUGUCAUUAAUUGCCAUCAUUAAGUUGGGCACUUUAAUGAGACUGCCGGUGACAAACCGGAGGAAGGUGGGGAUGACGUCAAGUCCUCAUGGCCCUUAUGGGUAGGGCUUCACACGUCAUACAAUGGCCGGUACAGAGGGUAGCCAACCCGCGAGGGGGAGCCAAUCCCAGAAAGCCGGUCGUAGUCCGGAUUGUUCUCUGCAACUCGAGAGCAUGAAGUCGGAAUCGCUAGUAAUCGCGGAUCAGCAUGUCGCGGUGAAUACGUUCCCGGGUCUUGUACACACCGCCCGUCACACCAUGGGAGUGGGUGAUACCAGAAGUAGGCAGUCUAACCGCAAGGGGGGCGCUUACCACGGUAUGAUUCAUGACUGGGGUGAAGUCGUAACAA